rnacentral:rRNA from 1 species
GCAUGUCUAAGCACAAGCCCUUGAAUGGUGAAGCCGCGAAAAGCUCAUUACAACAGCCAUAGUUUAUUGGAUCUUUACCUUCUUACACGGAUAACUGCGGUAAUUCUGGAGCUACUACGUGCAUUAAACGACGACCUUACGGAAGUCGUGCAUUUGUUAGACCAAACCAAUCGGUCUUCGGACCGCCAUUUGGUGAACUCUGAAUAACUUUGCUGAUCGCACAGUCUCGUACUGGCGACAAAUCUUUCAAGUGUCUGCCUUAUCAACUUUCGAUGGUAGUUUAUACGCCUACCAUGGUUGUAACGGGUAACGGAGAAUAAGGGUUCGACUCCGGAGAGGGAGCCUGAGAAACGGCUACCACAUCCAAGGAAGGCAGCAGGCGCGCAAAUUACCCACUCGCAGAACGCGGAGGUAGUGACGAAAAAUAACGAGGUGGCUCUCUACGAGGUCCGCCAUCGGAAUGGGUACAAUUUAAAUCCUUUAACGAGGAUCUAUUGGAGGGCAAGUCUGGUGCCAGCAGCCGCGGUAAUUCCAGCUCCAAUAGCGUAUAUUAAAGUUGUUGCGGUUAAAAAGCUCGUAGUUGGAUCUGCGUUCGGUGAAAGCGGUCGCCCGACGGGUUGUACUGCUUCUCCCGAACUAAUCAUUCGGUUUUCCCUUGAUGCUCUUCAUUGAGUGUCCUGGGUGACCGGAACUUUUACUUUGAAAAAAUUAGAGUGCUCAAAGCAGGCGAUUCGCCCGAAUAUUCGUGCAUGGAAUAAUGAAAAAGGUCCUUGUAGCCUUUUAUUGGUUAUUGCUAUGAGGAAAUGAUCGAAGGGGACAGACGGGGGCAUUUGUAUUGCGACGUUAGAGGUGAAAUUCUUGGAUCGUCGCAAGACAAACUACUGCGAA